rnacentral:RNase_P_RNA from 1 species
CGUGCAGGCCGGGUGACCGCGGGCCGCUUCGUCCUCCGGGGCGGCGGCUCGAGGAAAGUCCGGACACCGCAGGGCAAGGACGCUGGGGCGACCCAGGCGGCGAAAGCCGACGGAAAGUGGAACAGAAAGGAGACCGCCGGCCAAUUGGUGCACGGUUAGGCCGGUAAGGGUGAAACGGUGGGGUAAGAGCCCACCAGCGAUCGUGGCGACACGAUCGGCUCGCCAAACCCCGUCCGGUGCAAGGCGAAGCAGGUCCCGUCGACGCGGCCCGCCGAGGGACCGGGUACGCCGCAAAGAGAGAUGGUCAUCCUCGACAGAAUCCGGCUUACAG